GGCGCUGGUGGUGGCACGCCCUGCACUGCUGGGUCGGGGUUCAAGUCCCCGCGGCGCC
ensembl:sRNA